rnacentral:rRNA from 1 species
GAUGAACGCUGGCGGCGUGCCUAAUACAUGCAAGUCGAGCGAACAGACGAGGAGCUUGCUCCUCUGACGUUAGCGGCGGACGGGUGAGUAACACGUGGAUAACCUACCUAUAAGACUGGGAUAACUUCGGGAAACCGGAGCUAAUACCGGAUAAUAUAUUGAACCGCAUGGUUCAAUAGUGAAAGACGGUUUUGCUGUCACUUAUAGAUGGAUCCGCGCCGCAUUAGCUAGUUGGUAAGGUAACGGCUUACCAAGGCAACGAUGCGUAGCCGACCCGAGAGGGUGAUCGGCCACACUGGAACUGAGACACGGUCCAGACUCCUACGGGAGGCGGCAGUAGGGAAUCUUCCGCAAUGGGCGAAAGCCUGACGGAGCAACGCCGCGUGAGUGAUGAAGGUCUUCGGAUCGUAAAACUCUGUUAUUAGGGAAGAACAAAUGUGUAAGUAACUAUGCACGUCUUGACGGUACCUAAUCAGAAAGCCACGGCUAACUACGUG